rnacentral:rRNA from 1 species
CGGCGGACGGGUGAGUAACGCGUGGGUAACCUGCCUCAUACAGGGGGAUAACAGUUGGAAACGGCUGCUAAUACCGCAUAAGCGCACAGUACCGCAUGGUACGGUGUGAAAAACUCCGGUGGUAUGAGAUGGACCCGCGUCUGAUUAGGUAGUUGGUGGGGUAACGGCCUACCAAGCGACGAUCAGUAGCCGACCUGAGAGGGUGACCGGCCACAUUGGGACUGAGACACGGCCCAAACUCCUACGGGAGGCAGCAUG